UUCAAUAUUUUUAUGACAGUUCACAUCACAAAUAACAAAACCUGUGCGAUUAUUUUGUUUUAUGAGGAUAUGGGAUAGGAACUGAGUAUAAUCCUAACGGGGCAGUAGCAACGAAUUUGGGGACCAAUGGCAGAAGGGCAGGAGAGGGAGGUGCAGCUUUGAAAGUAGGUAUUCCCACUUUACUGUCUCACAUAAAUUAGUGCUGUUUCUAACUUUUCUGACCUGCAUCAAUCUAUGGCGAGAGAAGGAGCUGCUUUGAGACAUAGACGGGCACAGAACAUUAUAAAGUGCUUUAAAACAUUUUUAAAGUUCGCUUAAGACAAAUAUGUGAGGUGGGUGGCACAGUGUAUUACUUGGCUUUGCAGCAGGAACAACUCGCAAAUCUCAGUGACUUACAAUGACAAAGUUUAUUUAUCAUUCAGGUUUUAUGUAAGCUGUAGAUCAGCUGCAUCUCUGCUUCCUGUGUCCUCUUUGUUCUAGAAUGCGGGCUGAAAGAGCAGCCUCCUUAGGAGCAUGCUGUUCUCAUAAUAAAAGGAGUGGCAAAUGUCACAUUCCACUGGGCAAAACACAUCACAUGGCCAGGUCCAAAGACAGUGGGGUGAAAAUACAUAUUCCUCCCACAGGUGGAUAGUAAUACAGUAUACUGCUGGCAUAUUUUAUUAUUGUGAUUGUACUUCUCAUUUUAUACAAGUGGAAAUUAAGGCAUAGAGAGGUUAGAUGAAUUGCCCAAGACCACACUACAGUCUUCCAGUCAAUAGCUUCAACAUGAACCUUGAAAUUCAAAUGAUCUCUAUGUGAAAGAAGUCGCUAUUCAAAAAAGAUACGGAUAACCCAUACUUGGACAAAAGCUUGAAUUUAAAAAAUCCCCUUUCAAUACUGGAACAAGAAGAGUUUAAUUAUAAUUUAUUAAUUGUUUACUAAGUCCCAUACUUCUUUGUAUCAGUUAAAUAAAGGCAGUGUCUACAAAGAAA